GACGAACGCUGGCGGCGUGCUUAACACAUGCAAGUCGAACGGAAAGGCCCUGCUUUUGUGGGGUGCUCGAGUGGCGAACGGGUGAGUAACACGUGAGUAACCUGUCCUUGACUUUGGGAUAACUUCAGGAAACUGGGGCUAUUAUCGGGUAGGAGCUCCUGCUGCAUGGUGGGGGUUGGAAAGUUUCGGCGGUUGGGGAUGGAAUCGCGGCUUAUCAGCUUGUUGGUUGGGUAGUGGCUUACCAAGGCUUUGACGGGUAGCCGGCCUGGGAGGGUGACCGGCCACAUUAGGACUGAGAUACGGCCCAGACUCCUACGGGAGGCAGCAGUGGGGAAUAUUACACAGUGGGAGGGAGCCUGAUGCAGCAACGCCGCGUGCGGGAUGACGGCCUGCGGGUUGUAAACCGCUUUCGCCUGUGACGAAGCGUGAGUGACGGUAAUGGGUAAAGAAGCACCGGCUAACUACGUG
rnacentral:rRNA from 1 species